AUCCAGCUGACGAGUCCCAAAUAGGACGAAACGUAUGCCCUAGAU
rfam:Schistosoma curassoni strain Dakar, Senegal genome assembly, scaffold: SCTD_scaffold0001035